rnacentral:lncRNA from 1 species
GUUUUUCUUUUUUUUUCUUUUUUUUUUUUUCCGAGAUAGGGUUUCUCUGUGUAGCUUUGGAGGCUGUCCUGGAACUAGCUCUUGUAGACCAGGGAGACAAGUUUUAGUGAAGAGGUUCAUGAUGGUCCCCGGCAAGGGCAGAAGGCAGAAGGACUCAACCUCCCCCAGGGACCCCAAGGCUCUUCGGAAGAGGAAGGACAGGCCAGACACCACAGAGGAUGGGGACUGACUCAGAGGCGGUUCCCAGAGGUCUCCUGAGCCAGCCCAGCCAGCUCCGCAUGGGGAGAACGAAGAACUAAUGAGACCCGGGCAAUGAGAGCCCUAGGACGGUCGACUGGGAGGAAGCAGGCACUUCCUCAGGCGUGUACCCCCACACACCUCUUGACCUGCAUCUGACCCCAGCUAGAUCUUGGUCCCCAAAGCUGACCUCACACAGCUGAGGAUGGCAGGAAAGAGCAGGGGUGACCAGAGACAGUGCCGUUAAGAGAUGUAAAGCUAAUGAGAUUAAUUAAUCCAGUGCUUCUGGUGUCUGGUGACUUUAGGACCAGCCUUGUCUCCCUGCCCCCACUUCAGGUUCCUGGCUCCUCCCAGUUUCUGCCACCCCUCCCUCCCCAAGUCUCCUGGCUUCCCUCCUGCCGUCCGGGCCCCAGAGCUUUCUCAACAGUCGCCGAGCCAAGUCCAGCUACGUGUAGGGGGAAGGUUCAGACCACACACAUUCCAGUCGGGAAGGGCCCUAUAGCCCAAUAGUCUAGAGCAGGGGUUCUCAACAGUUCAUGUUGUGGUCACCCCCCAACCAUGAAAUUACUUUUGUUUCUACUGCAUAACUGUAAUGUUGCUGCUGUUACGAAUCAUAAUGUAAAUAUCGGUAUUUUCCAGUGGCCCCCCAAAGGUUUGAGACCCACAAGUUAAGACCCACUGGUCUAGGCUUCCUUCCUCGAAGGGCUGCAAGACUGACUCAGGGACGGACGUGAGGGCCUGGUGGAGUCUACUCUAACCCCAGCCUUUGUGAGGCUGAGGAGGCAGAAGGUGUGAGUGCUCUGAGUUCAAGGCCAACUGGGG